rnacentral:rRNA from 1 species
AGUGAACGCUGGCGGUAGGCCUAACACAUGCAAGUCGAACGGCAGCACAGUAAGAGCUUGCUCUUACGGGUGGCGAGUGGCGGACGGGUGAGGAAUACAUCGGACUCUACUUUUUCGUGGGGGAUAACGUAGGGAAACUUACGCUAAUACCGCAUACGACCUACGGGUGAAAGCAGGGGAUCUUCGGACCUUGCGCGAUUGAAUGAGCCGAUGUCGGAUUAGCUAGUUGGCCGGGUAAAGGCCCACCAAGGCGACGAUCCGUAGCUGGUCUGAGAGGAUGAUCAGCCACACUGGAACUGAGACACGGUCCAGACUCCUACGGGAGGCAGCAGUGGGGAAUAUUGGACAAUGGGCGCAAGCCUGAUCCAGCCAUACCGCGUGGGUGAAGAAGGCCUUCGGGUUGUAAAGCCCUUUUGUUGGGAAAGAAAAGCAGCAGGUUAAUACCCCGCUGUUCUGACGGUACCCAAAGAACAAGCACCGGCUAACUUCGUG